rnacentral:rRNA from 1 species
AUUGAACGCUGGCGGCAUGCUUUACACAUGCAAGUCGAACGGUAACAGGUCUUCGGAUGCUGACGAGUGGCGAACGGGUGAGUAAUACAUCGGAACGUGCCCGAUCGUGGGGGAUAACUACUCGAAAGAGUAGCUAAUACCGCAUACGAUCUACGGAUGAAAGCGGGGUAUCUUCGGACCUCGUGCGGACGGAGCGGCCGAUGGCAGAUUAGGUAGUUGGUGGGAUAAAAGCUUACCAAGCGGACGAUCUGUAGCUGGUCUGAGAGGACGACCAUCCAGACUGGGACUGAGACACGACCCAGACUCCUACGGGAGGCAGCAGUGGGGAAUUUUGGACAAUGGGCGAAAGCCUGAUCCAGCAAUGCCGCGUGCAGGAUGAAGGCCUUCGGGUUGUAAACUGCUUUUGUACGGAACGAAAAGACUCCUUCUAAUACAGGGGGUCCAUGACGGUACCGUAAGAAUAAGCACCGGCUAACUACGUGCCAGCCGCCGCAGUAACAC